GCCGGGGUGGCAGAGCGGCAAAACUAGUAGGGCCAUUGCGCCGGACUCGAGAUCCGGUUCUCCUCAUAGGAGAGUGGGGGUUCAAAUCCCCUCCCCGGCGCCA
rnacentral:tRNA from 1 species